rnacentral:rRNA from 1 species
GAUGAACGCUGGCGGCGUGCCUAAUACAUGCAAGUCGAGCGAACGGACGAGAAGCUUGCUUCUCUGAUGUUAGCGGCGGACGGGUGAGUAACACGUGGAUAACCUACCUAUAAGACUGGGAUAACUUCGGGAAACCGGAGCUAAUACCGGAUAAUAUUUUGAACCGCAUGGUUCAAAAGUGAAAGACGGUCUUGCUGUCACUUAUAGAUGGAUCCGCGCUGCAUUAGCUAGUUGGUAAGGUAACGGCUUACCAAGGCAACGAGGCAUAGCCGACCUGAGCGGGCGAUCCGCCACACGGGAGAGAGGACGCGGACCAGCCCCCGAAGGGAGGCAGCAGUAGGAAAUCUACGGCAAGGGGCGAAAGCCUGACGGAGAAACGCGGCGUGAGUGAGGAAGGUCUUCGGAUCGUAAAACUCUGUUAUUAGGGAAGAACAUAUGUGUAAGUAACUGUGCACAUCUUGACGGAACCUAAGCAGAAGGCCACGGCUACCUACGG